rnacentral:rRNA from 1 species
AUUGAACGCUGGCGGCAUGCCUUACACAUGCAAGUCGAACGGCAGCACGGGGGCAACCCUGGUGGCGAGUGGCGGACGGGUGAGUAAUGCAUCGGAACGUGCCCUGAAGUGGGGGAUAACGCAGCGAAAGCUACGCUAAUACCGCAUAUUCUGUGAGCAGGAAAGCAGGGGAUCGCAAGACCUUGCGCUUUGGGAGCGGCCGAUGUCGGAUUAGCUAGUUGGUGGGGUAAAGGCCUACCAAGGCGACGAUCCGUAGCGGGUCUGAGAGGAUGAUCCGCCACACUGGGACUGAGACACGGCCCAGACUCCUACGGGAGGCAGCAGUGGGGAAUUUUGGACAAUGGCGAAAGCCUGAUCCAGCCAUGCCGCGUGAGUGAAGAAGGCC